AUUGAACGCUGGCGGCAGGCCUAACACAUGCAAGUCGAACGAGUGGCGGACGGGUGAGUAAUGUCUGGGAAACUGCCCGAUGGAGGGGGAUAACUACUGGAAACGGUAGCUAAUACCGCAUACCAUCGGAUGUGCCCAGAUGGGAUUAGCUUGUAGGUGAGGUAACGGCUCACCUAGGCGACGAUCCCUAGCUGGUCUGAGAGGAUGACCAGCUACACGGGAAAUGAGAAACGGUCCAGACUCGUAGGGUAGUCAGCAGGGGGGAGUAUUGCGCAAUGGGCGCAAGCCGGAUGCAGCCACGGCGCGGGUAUGAAGAGGGCCUUCGGGAUGUAAAUUAGUUUCAGCGGGGCGGCGUUACCCGCAGCAGAAGCCCCGGCUAACUCCGGGCCAGGAGCCUCGGUAUUGC
rnacentral:rRNA from 1 species